AUUGAACGCUGGCGGCAUGCCUUACACAUGCAAGUCGAACGGCAGCACGGGAGCAAUCCUGGUGGCGAGUGGCGAACGGGUGAGUAAAGUAUCGGAACGUGCCCAGUCGUGGGGGAUAACGUGGCGAAAGUUACGCUAAUACCGCAUACGAUCUAUGGAUGAAAGCGGGGGAUUGAAAGACCUCGCGCGAUUGGAGCGGCCGAUAUCAGAUUAGGUAGUUGGUGGGGUAAAGGCUCACCAAGCCGACGAUCUGUAGCUGGUCUGAGAGGACGACCAGCCACACUGGGACUGAGACACGGCCCAGACUCCUACGGGAGGCAGCAGUGGGGAAUUUUGGACAAUGGGCGAAAGCCUGAUCCAGCCAUGCCGCUUGCAGGAUGAAGGCCUUCGGGUUGUAAACUGCUUUUGUACGGAACGAAAAGGUUUGGCCUAAUAAGCUGAGCUCAUGACGGUACCGUAAGAAUAAGCACCGGCUAACUACGUGCCAGCCGCCGCCGUAA
rnacentral:rRNA from 1 species